GGAGGAUCCGAGCGUUAUCCGGAUUUAUUGGGUUUAAAGGGAGCGUAGGCGGAUUGUUAAGUCAGUUGUGAAAGUUUGCGGCUCAACCGUAAAAUUGCAGUUGAUACUGGCAGUCUUGAGUGCAGUAGAGGUGGGCGGAAUUCGUGGUGUAGCGGUGAAAUGCUUAGAUAUCACGAAGAACUCCGAUUGCGAAGGCAGCUCACUGGAGUGUAACUGACGCUGAUGCUCGAAAGUGUGGGUAUCGAACAGGAUUAGAUACCCUGGUAGUCCGCACGGUAAACGAUGGAUGCCCGCUGUUGGUCUGAAUAGGUCAGCGGCCAAGCGAAAGCAUUAAGCAUCCCACCUGGGGAGU
rnacentral:rRNA from 1 species